rnacentral:rRNA from 1 species
GACAGAGGAUGCAAGCGUUAUCCGGAAUCACUGGGCGUAAAGGGUGCGUAGGCGGGUCUUUAAGUCAGGGGUGAAAUCCUGGAGCUCAACUCCAGAACUGCCUUUGAUACUGAGGAUCUUGAGUUCGGGAGAGGUGAGUGGAACUGCGAGUGUAGAGGUGAAAUUCGUAGAUAUUCGCAAGAACACCAGUGGCGAAGGCGGCUCACUGGCCCGAUACUGACGCUGAGGCACGAAAGCGUGGGGAGCAAACAGG